rnacentral:rRNA from 1 species
GAUGAACGCUAGCGGCAGGCCUAAUACAUGCAAGUCGAACGGUGUCUUCGGACAUAGUGGCGCACGGGUGCGUAACACGUAUGCAACCUACCUUACAUUGGGGGAUAGCCCUUCGAAAGGGAGAUUAAUACCGCAUAAGACAGUAGCUGGGCAUCCAGCAGCUGUUAAAGAUUUAUCGAUGUAAGCUGGGCAUGAGUGCAAUUAGAUAGUUGGUGAGGUAACGGCUCACCAAGGCAAUGAUUGGUAGGGGAACUGAGAGGUCAAUCCCCCACACUGGCACUGAGAUUCGGGCCAGACUCCUACGGGAGGCAGCAGUAGGGAAUAUUGGGCAAUGGACGCAAGUCUGACCCAGCCAUGCCGCGUGCAGGAUGAAGGCGUUAUGCGUUGUAAACUGCUUUUAUACAGGAAGAAACGACUCUUGCGAGAGGCAUUGACGGUACUGUAUGAAUAAGCACCGGCUAACUCCGUGCCAGCCGCCGCCGUAAUAC